GAUGAACGCUGGCAGCGUGCCUAAUACAUGCAAGUCGAGCGAACGGACGAGAAGCUUGCUUCUCUGAUGUUAGCGGCGGACGGGUGAGUAACACGUGGAUAACCUACCUAUAAGACUGGGAUAACUUCGGGAAACCGGAGCUAAUACCGGAUAAUAUUUUGAACCGCAUGGUUCAAAAGUGAAAGACGGUCUUGCUGUCACUUAUAGAUGGAUCCGCGCUGCAUUAGCUAGUUGGUAAGGUAACGGCUUACCAAGGCAACGAUGCAUAGCCGACCUGAGAGGGUGAUCGGCCACACUGGAACUGAGACACGGUCCAGACUCCUACGGGAGGCAGCAGUAGGGAAUCUUCCGCAAUGGGCGAAAGCCUGACGGAGCAACGCCGCGUGAGUGGUGAAGGUCUUCGGAUCGUAAAACUCUGUUAUUAGGGAAGAACAUAUGUGUAAGUAACUGUGCACAUCUUGACGGUACCUAAUCAGAAAGCCACGGCUAACUACGUG
rnacentral:rRNA from 1 species